rnacentral:rRNA from 1 species
UACGGGGGGAGCAAGCGUUGUUCGGAUUUACUGGGCGUAAAGGGCGCGUAGGCGCCAGCACAAGUCAGUUGUGAAAUCUCCGAGCUUAACUCGGAAAGGUCAACUGAUACUGUGCGGCUAGAGUGCGGAAGGGGCAACUGGAAUUCUUGGUGUAGCGGUGAAAUGCGCAGAUAUCAGGAGGAACACCGGUGGCGAAGGCGGGUCUCUGGGCCGUAACUGACGCUGGAGGAGCGAAAGCGUGGGGAGCGAACAGG